CAGCUGCGCACUAGCUUCUCGAAAAAAGGGCUGCUGUGCGACCUCACACGUCGAUCUUCGGUGAAUUGGGAUGUCAACAAACCUUGGUGACACCAGGAGGGACCGGGGACGGGCGCCGCGGGUCUUGUGCUUGGAGCCUUUCCUCCUCCUGGAGAGCCAGGCGUACUAACCCUAAAGGACUGGGAUCCCAGGUAAAAUGAAAGUGGCAAGUGAAAUAGUGGCAAAACUCCCGGGAACACUGAGGGACGGAUAAAGUCGCCAAAGAAACACAAAUCAACUCCUCUGUGGCAUGAACAAGUUAAAGGCCAUAAAGUCCAAGCAAUCAGCCCUAAACCAGAGCAACCUGUGUUCUCUGAUGGGAAUUUGGAAUGUCAACAAAUGUGGAAAGGAACACAGAAAUGCCUAGGCCCUUCCUCAGCUUCUACAGAACAAGGGCCUUUCAAUCUGGCUUUGAGCUGGCACAUACUUUCCCAAAAUGAUGAACUUCAGGGCGGGACUUACACACAGAAGACAGUGACAGGAGGCUAUGGUUUCAAG